rnacentral:rRNA from 1 species
UAGGGAAUCUUCCGCAAUGGACGCAAGUCUGACGGAGCAACGCCGCGUGAGUGAAGAAGGAUUUCGGUUCGUAAAACUCUGUUGUUAGAGAAGAACAGCGCAUAGAGUAACUGUUAUGCGUGUGACGGUAUCUAACCAGAAAGCACGGCUAACUACGUGCCAGCAGCCGCGGUAAUACGUAGGUGGCAAGCGUUGUCCGGAUUUAUUGGGCGUAAAGCGAGCGCAGGCGGUCAAUUAAGUCUGAUGUGAAAGCCCCGGCUCAACCGGGGAGGGUCAUUGGAAACUGGUUGACUUGAGUGCAGAAGAGGAGAGUGGAAUUCCAUGUGUAGCGGUGAAAUGCGUAGAUAUAUGGAGGAACACCAGUGGCGAAGGCGACUCUCUGGUCUGUAACUGACGCUGAGGCUCGAAAGCGUGGGUAGCAAACAGG